rnacentral:rRNA from 1 species
UACGGAGGGUGCGAGCGUUGUCCGGAAUCAUUGGGCGUAAAGGGCGCGUAGGUGGCUCGCCAAGCGGGCGGUGAAAGCCUGGGGCUCAACCCCGGGUCGGCCGUGCGAACUGGCGAGCUGGAGCACUGUAGAGGCAGGCGGAAUCCCGGGUGUAGCGGUGGAAUGCGUAGAGAUCCGGAAGAACACCGGUGGCGAAGGCGGCCUGCUGGGCAGUGGCUGACACUGAGGCGCGACAGCGUGGGGAGCAAACAGG